GAUGAACGCUGGCGGCGUGCUUAACACAUGCAAGUCGAGCGAAGCACUUUUGCGGAUUUCUUCGGAUUGAAGCAACUGUGACUGAGCGGCGGACGGGUGAGUAACGCGUGGGUAACCUGCCUCAUACAGGGGGAUAACAGUUGGAAACGGCUGCUAAUACCGCAUAAGCGCACAGUACCGCAUGGUACCGUGUGAAAAACUCCGGUGGUAUGAGAUGGACCCGCGUCUGAUUAGCUAGUUGGUGGGGUAACGGCCUACCAAGGCGACGAUCAGUAGCCGACCUGAGAGGGUGACCGGCCACAUUGGGACUGAGACACGGCCCAAACUCCUACGGGAGGCAGCAGUGGGGAAUAUUGCACAAUGGGGGAAACCCUGAUGCAGCGACGCCGCGUGAGCGAUGAAGUAUUUCGGUAUGUAAAGCUCUAUCAGCAGGGAAGAAAAUGACGGUAC
rnacentral:rRNA from 1 species